rnacentral:rRNA from 1 species
AUUGAACGCUGGCGGCAUGCCUUACACAUGCAAGUCGAACGGUAACAGGUCUUCGGAUGCUGACGAGUGGCGAACGGGUGAGUAAUACAUCGGAACGUGCCCGAUCGUGGGGAUAACUACUCGAAAGAGUAGCUAAUACCGCAUACGAUCUACGGAUGAAAGCGGGGGAUCUUCGGACCUCGUGCGGACGGAGCGGCCGAUGGCAGAUUAGGUAGUUGGUGGGAUAAAAGCUUACCAAGCCGACGAUCUGUAGCUGGUCUGAGAGGACGACCAGCAACACUGGGACUGAGACACGGCCCAGACUCCUACGGGAGGCAGCAGUGGGGAAUUUUGGACAAUGGGCGAAAGCCUGAUCCAGCAAUGCCGCGUGCAGGAUGAAGGCCUUCGGGUUGUAAACUGCUUUUGUACGGAACGAAAAGACUCCUUCUAAUACAGGGGGUCCAUGACGGUACCGUAAGAAUAAGCACCGGCUAACUACGUGCCAGCCGCCGCCGUAA